UUUUGCCACGCUUAUUUAUUUCUCUUCUUUUUUCUUUUCCUUUCCUUCUCUUU
rnacentral:ribozyme from 1 species